CAGGAUUGCAGUUAGUCCUAAAACAAGUUCUCUUCUCCUAAACCUUGCAGAAGAGGAGGAUUUUGCAAUCUGUGAGCUUACCAGGGCUAAAGAAGUUCCUGCAAGAGAAGAGUGGGGCCUGGGUCUGCCUUUCCCAUUGCCAAGAUGCCGUCUGCUGGCAACAUCAUCCAUUAUGACUGAUCAUGGCAAAUGCCGGUCAGCUGGCCUCACAGCAGUUGUUAGGAAAAUAGUCUUUGGCUUGAUUAUGUUAUCUGGCUUUCCCCAAGGAGGAAAAGACUCAGAAUGGAUGGAAGUUGUUUAUAAAUUCUCCUCUGCUGCAUACUGUUAAGAAGGGGAAAGAGGAGUGCUGGACUCACCCUGAAUUCUUUCUUACGCGAGAUCCAAGAAUUGUCUCUUGGGGUCUGUGCUGGGACUGCUUUCCUGUAACAUAUUUCUGGCGUCCACAGAAGGGACUAUAGUGAGGAAACCACUGACUUUGGAUCACUCCCUGCAGGUGAAGCCAACUGCCAUGUUGUGCAGAGGCUCCAGCCUCCCGUGGAGAGGCCCACACGGAGAGGAUCUGCCAUCGCCAGCAGGAGCUUUCCAGCCAUAUGAUUUCUGGCAUGGGAGACACUGAACCAUAACCACCCAGCUAAGCUGCCCCUGGAUUCCUGACCUGCAAGACAUGAAGUGAGAUAACAAAUGGUGUUGUUGUAAACCUUACCAUUUCUGGGUAAUUCAUUGUGCAGCAGUAGAUAACUGAUACCAGACCCUUCACUGAGUCUUUUGGGCUUGAAAUGGAGAGAGUCAGGCUAAUUUGGGAUCUGGGAUCUCUUGGCAGACAUUAUUUCCUAUCAUAAAGAUCAGAAUGCCAGAAGAAGCCAGUUUCCAAGCAAGAGAGGGCAAAAUGAGAGAGGGAGAGUGGGAGAGAGAAAGAGAGAAGAGAAUAGAGAGAGAGAAGACUGGGGUGUGUGUGUUAUUUCUACCUUUUUUUGGGUGACAAAACCCAGAUUUACCUUUGCAGGGAUGACUCUUUUCCCACUCUGUGUUCAUUUGGUUCGAUAGAUCUGGCUGCACGCCCUCGCUUCCUGGGUGAUUAUGUAAUUUACAUAGUUUUAGCACCAAUAUGAAGUAGUUUCUGAAGCUAGCCUCCGGGGUUUUCAGUUAUCUGAGCCAGUAUUUCCUCCCUACUUUUUUUUUUGCUAAACUUGGUUUGACUUGAGUCUCACAAGUGAAAGCGACUUCAUUGAAACAGGAGCAGAGAGAAGCAGCAGAUAGAGAUUAAGAAAUUUCUUGAGAAUGUACAAAUUCCUGGAUCCAGCUGUUCCCAAAACCCAGGCAAAUCCUGCCUUCAAUAACAACAGCCGGACAGCAGCAACAGCAAACAUUUAUUGAAUACUUAUAAUGAAUUCCACCUUUGGCUAAUUUAGUUUCUCCCAUUCGCAAUCAAGAAAGUCUUGAAGAAUACAAUAUCCAUUGCAAAAAUAUCUGGAAAGGGAGAUAAUGUGCCAAGGGAAGCAAAAUAAAUCAAGGUUUACAAAAAGACAAAAGUGAAAGAUCACGCAAGACCAUAACUGUGUCAUGUGUAAAUUUCACCUAGGCCUUCUCUGUAUUUAGGGCACCCUGUGACAGGGACCUCAGCCCCAUAGGGAGAUCUCAAUGGAUUAGAUGCUAAGCUGAUGCAGGCUUGGGGAGUUGCCAGAGAAACCUAAGCAAGGCAUACAUCUAAAAGCUUUCUGAAUAGUUAAAAUUAGGUCCUAAAUCUAUCUUCUUAUUAAGAAUGACAGGGAUGGGCCGGGUGUGGUGGCUCACACCUAUAAUCCCAGCACUUUGGGAGGCUGAGGCAGGCGGAUCACUUGAGAUCAGGAGUUCAAGACCAGCCUGGUCAACAUAGAGAAACCCCAUCUCUACUAAAAAUACAAAAAAUUAGCGGGGCGUGGUGGCACAUGCCUGUAAUCCCAGUUACUUGGGAGGCUGAGGCAGGAGAAUCACUUGAAUCUGGGAGGCAGAGGUUACACGGAGCCAAGUUUGUGCUAUUGCACUCCAGCCUGGGCGACAGAGUGAGACUCCACCUCAAAAAAAAAAAAAAAAAAAAAAAAGAAUGUUAGGGAUGGAAGAUGGUGUUGGAAGGGGGAUGUUUUUAAAUUGAGAAACCAUAUUCCUUAUGUAUUCUUUUUUUUUUCUCUUAGGUUUUUUCCUUUUUUGCAUAGAAUACGAAGUUCAAGUUCUGUUGUUGUUGUCUUUGUUGUUGUUUUGAGACGGAAUUUCACUCUUGUUGCCCAGGUUGGAGUGCAAUGGUGUGAUCUUGGCUCACUGCAACCUCUGCCUCCCAGGUUCAAGUGAUUCUCCUGCUUCAGCCUCCCAAGUAACUGGGAUUACAGGCAUGCACCACCACGCCCAGCUAAUUUUUUGUAAUUUUUUUUUUUUUUUUUUUUUUUUUUUUUAGUAGAGAUGGUGUUUCUCCAUGUUGAUCAGGCUGAUCUUGAACUCCUGGCCUCAGGUGAUUUGCCUGCCUCGGCCUCCCAAAGUGGCGGGAUUACAGGCGUGAGCCACUGUGCUUGG
rnacentral:lncRNA from 1 species